GAUGAACGCUGGCGGCGUGCCUAACACAUGCAAGUCGAGCGAUUCUCUUCGGAGAAGAGCGGCGGACGGGUGAGUAACGCGUGGGUAACCUGCCCGUACACACGGAUAACAUACCGAAAGGUAUGCUAAUACGGGAUAAUAUGCUUUUAUCGCAUGGUAGAAGUAUCAAAGUUUUUGCGGUACAGGAUGGACCCGCGUCUGAUUAGCUAGUUGGUAGGUAACGGCUUACCAAGGCGACGAUCAGUAGCCGACCUGAGAGGGUGAUCGGCCACAUUGGAACUGAGACACGGUCCAAGCUCCUACGGGAGGCAGCAGUGGGGAAUAUUGCACAAUGGGCGAAAGCCUGAUGCAGCAACGCCGCGUGAGCGAUGAAGGCCUUCGGGUCGUAAAGCUCUGUCCUCAAGGAAGAUAAUGACGGUACUUGAGGAGGAAGCCCCGGCUAACUACGUGCCAGCCGCCGCCGUAA
rnacentral:rRNA from 1 species